GAACGCUGGCGGCGUGCCUAAUACAUGCAAGUAGAACGCUGAAGGGAGAGCUUGCUCUUCUGGAUGAGUUGCGAACGGGUGAGUAACGCGUAGGUAACCUGCCUGGUAGCGGGGGAUAACUAUUGGAAACGAUAGCUAAUACCGCAUAACAUUGACUAUUGCAUGAUAGUCAAUUAAAAGGUGCAAAUGCACCACUACCAGAUGGACCUGCGUUGUAUUAGCUAGUUGGUGGGGUAACGGCUCACCAAGGCGACGAUACAUAGCCGACCUGAGAGGGUGAUCGGCCACACUGGGACUGAGACACGGCCCAGACUCCUACGGGAGGCAGCAGUAGGGAAUCUUCGGCAAUGGACGGAAGUCUGACCGAGCAACGCCGCGUGAGUGAAGAAGGUUUUCGGAUCGUAAAGCUCUGUUGUAAGAGAAGAACGAGUGUGAGAGUGGAAAGU
rnacentral:rRNA from 1 species